UACGUAGGGCGCAAGCGUUGUCCGGAAUUAUUGGGCGUAAAGAGCUCGUAGGCGGCCUGUUGCGUCCGCUGUGAAAUCCCGGGGCUCAACCCCGGGCGUGCAGUGGAUACGGGCUGGCUGGAGGCAGGCAGGGGAGAACGGAAUUCCUGGUGUAGCGGUGAAAUGUGUUGAUAUCGGAAGGAACGCCUGUGGCGAAAGCGACACACUGGGUCUCAACUGACGCUGAGGCACGAAAGCCAGGGGAGCGAACGGG
rnacentral:rRNA from 1 species